GUAGUCUCGCACAGAUGCAUAUCAAUAAGCGGAGGAAAAGAAACUAACAAGGAUUCCCUUAGUAACGGCGAGUGAAGCGGGAAGAGCUCAAAUUUGAAAUCUUCAAGGUUUACCUUGACGAAUUGUAGUUUAAAGAAGUGUUUUCUGUUGAAGUUUGGUAAUAAGUUCUUUGGAAUAGGACAUCAUAGAGGGUGAGAAUCCCGUAUCUGACCAUUAUUUUCAGCUGUGUGAUACACUUUCAAAGAGUCGGAUUGUUUGGGAAUGCAGUCCAAAAUGGGUGGUAAAUUUCAUCUAAAGCUAAAUAUUGGCGAGAGACCGAUAGCGAACAAGUACCGUGAGGGAAAGAUGAAAAGAACUUUGAAAAGAGAGUUAAACAGUACGUGAAAUUGUCAAAAGGGAAGCGUUUGACACCAGUGUUGUUUUCUCGAAAAUCAAUUAAAAAGAGUUAGAUUUUGUUGUGUAUUGACCUUAACAGCUUGCAUUUCAAUUUUCUUGCUUUUUUAAUGCACUUUUCGUUUAACAAGUCAACAUCAGUUUCUUUUGUUGUAAAAAGGUCAUUGGAAGGUGGCUUUCUUUUCGGAGAAAGUGUUUAUAGCCUUUGACUCCUGCAAUCGGAGAGACUGAGGUCUGCAGCGUAGAUCCUUCGGGGUUAGAUACAUUUGUGCUAAGUUAUAGCUUCUUAUAGACAACUUGUUGACUAUGAUUAGUCUUGUAGCUUACUCGCUUACGCUAUUUUACCUACGCUUAGGAUUGUUGAAGAUGUAGCACAUCAU
rnacentral:rRNA from 1 species